UGUGCGGGAGUGCACAGCUCUAGACAGCGGGGUCGUAACUCUAACCCAGUCUUACAACACCAAGCCCAUUUUUUCCCCCACUACAGUGGGCUGUGAACCUUGAAAGCCAAGAAAGGGCUCAAGGGGUGGCUAGCGGUUUUGCUAUAGAGAAAACCGCAACUAUACUCAACUUGUUUACACCCAGAUGCUGGGACCGCGAGAAAGCAAGCUUCCACCAGAUCUCAAAGAAGCAAUGGAAUUUGAACAAAAAGAAAAAGAGAGGCGGGGAGAAAUGGCGGGAGCGAAGGCAAAGAGGGGGAGGAAGCAGAAGGCAUCCGAGGCAGAUGGUGGGGGCGACCGUGCAGAGGAGCCGCAAGGGGAAGGCGAAUGGGAGGGGAGCAGUGUAGGACCCAACGCUGCGCGAGCCUGGGAUCCGAAGCUGAAGGCUGUGAAGACAGCGUGAGCAGAGAGGAGUUGGAGGCUGGCAGGCGCCUGUGAAGGACCAGAUGGGGAGGGGCGCACGUAGGACAAGCCGAGGUCACCCGCAGCUCCCAAGCCAGAGGGGCUGCUAAAAGAGGUCCAAUUGUUCCAGUAUCAUUUGUUGAAAAAACUAUCAUGGACCUAUCAAAUCACCUUGGUGCCUCUAAAAAUCAACUAACUAUGACAGACAGGGGCGGGGUUGACCAUGAGAAUGUGCUCCACUCACAGGGGCGAGCAGCCCUCCCUGAUGGUCUCAGCCAGAAGUUUGCAGCAGAAAGAAUGCUGAGAGCCUCUGGUGGGCCCAGAAGACAGACAGAGUUUGAAGACCCCUCUGUGAGAUGGGAUUUGACCCAUCAACAACCAGCAACAUGAACUGAGUCUGUAACUGGAUGCCACCUCCUUGAUGUCCACGGGAUUUAUUCACUCCUUUCUACCUGGCCUGACAAUUCCCUGCCAUCAUUUUUGCCUGGAUGAUGCACAGACACCUAACUGGCCUCCCUGUUCCACACCGGCUCCUGGGAACCACCCAGAAGCCAAAGGCAUCUUUCUAAGAUGCACAGCCAACAUUGUCACUUGCGUACUUACCACCCUCCAAUGGCUGUGGCCUACCAAACAAAUCCAAACGGUGUAGCAGAGCCCACAAAAGCUCCGCCUCUCAUUCCACCAGCCCUUUCAAUCCAGCCUCACAGGACUGGUCGUGGUUCGCCAGCGUGUUCACCCACCACACCCUGAUCACGUGCCUUGCUCCCUCUGCUGCAGUGAGUUUCCCUUUACUCAGCCACUUCCCACCCACACUGAUCCACCUGACAAAGAUGAUCAGCCUGCAAGUGUCUGUACUCAAAGCCCAGCUCAAGAAUCUCUGUGAAGAAUUUGCCAAGUGCCAACACAGCAACAGUGCCCUCUCCUUCAUCAUUUGCUUUCUCCUUCGAUCCCUCUGGCCACACCUCAAGUCACAAGACCAGCUUCUCUUCUCUAGGGGAAGGAAAGCAAGUCAUCUCCCACCCCAGGCAGCAGCGCUGAGCACCCCCUCCAGCUCCCCAUGCAUGCGGGGGCACUGGGUGGGGUGAGAGGCCAGCUCUCCUGCGGAGGGGCCUCUGCUCCUUCCCAGCCUUGUCAAACCGCAUCACUUCCCAGGCCGCUUCUCUGCUUCCUUCUUCCACGUCCCUGUUUUGAGUUCACACUUGGGGACCAGCCCCAAAGACUCACCAACACCACCCAAAGACCCAGGUGCUGCAGACCAGUGGGAUACCUCGUGGGAGAGCUUCCACAGGAGACAGCCCUGCCCAGCCCCACCCCAGGAGGAGCCCAUGGAGCAGAUGCUCACAGAAAUACUCCUGUGUCACCUUCCACUUUGCCACACACGUGGCCCAGAGAAUCCACCAAGGAGGAGGAGAAGAAGCCUGAAUCGUAGAGAAGGAGGACAGCCAAGAGAGCAUGAUAGGAAGAAGCCAGCGAGGAAAGGUGGUGUCAAGUAGUACACAAUGCUCUUACAGGCAGGUCUGCCGGAUAGACUUCACAGGCACAGCCUUGAGGACAGUGAAUCAGAAGGAGUAUCGUCACCCCUGAUUUUGCCCAAGUGGCAUCCAGGCUGUAGCCUUGUAAACUCUUUAAAAAUCCUUAUGACAAUACCUCUUUUCUGUAGAAGGUUGAUCCUGUGAAGUGGAAGUCUGCCUGGCAAGCAGCCUGACAGGUUUGGGUGUGUGUGCUUGCAGGCUGGAGGGGCUGAGAGCUGGGACUGCUCGGCAACAUAGAAAGGAGGGAGGGGGAGAACAUCGGGAAAGGAAAGGAAAGGAGAAGCAAACCCAGUAAGUGGAGGAAGGCUGGGCAGUUGGGGGUGAGGAAGUGGGUCAGAAUUCUAAAUAAAGAAAGACCACUGCAGGAAUCUGUAUCACGUGCUGGGUGACCCUCAACGUGGCCCCUCCCUGGGUGGGUGGAGGAGUCUGCCCUGUUCACAGAUCUUCGUGUGUGCGGAUCUCUUGAGUGUGGAGAUGGAGCAAUGAGUCAUGUGGGAUGAAAGAGGGAGAGGGUUCCUGGGUCUGCACCUUGAGAGCAUGGGGCCCCUCAGGGGUCCGUGGCGUUCUUCAGAGAGGUGGAGGGGAAUUCAGAAUGGGGAUUUAAGACAUUCUGUUCUGGAUCUUAGGCACCUUCGGCUGACUUCUGGACCAUCUUGUUAAGUGCACAGCACCUAAUCUUAGAAAAAACUGUUCACUUUUCCAAACGCAUCCAAGCUCACUAGCGUGUCAUUUUCUCAAGAACAAAUGGAUAAGUGUGCAUAUCUACCACAGUAUGUAUGGAGCUUAACACUCGCUCUCGCACUUGGCCACAGACCACUGUCAUUCAAAGUUGUAAAGGCCACAGAGAUGACCCAGGGGACAUCCAUUUGGAGAUGGGCGAUGGAGACCAGAGAGGAAAGCAACUUUCUCAAGACCACACAGCAAAUGGGUGUAGAGCUUAUCUUUAUUUUUUUCCACCUCCAGGUUUGGGAAUUUUCUCCAAAGUGCCACAGCUGCUUGUGACUUAUGCGGAUGCCAAUUUGGGUCUGAGGGAGAUUCAGAGAGUCAGAGCAGGAGACAAGGAAGUCUUGUUCUCUAACUGAAUCUCCCAGGGCUGUAAGCUCCAAGCAAACACAUUCUUGAAUCUUUGCCAUGCAUUUAAGAGCAGAGCAGAAGAGUUAUAAAUGAGCUUUUUCUCUCUACAGAUAAGAGAAUCACAAAAUGUUAGGUCUGCAAGAGAUGGGUUAGAGAGGUGUUUCCCUGCCCAGACUCCUUCAGCCUAAGAAUCUGAAUUCUCUAUCCUGCACCUUUAGAGUUCCAUAGGCAAAGAACUAUAUUAACUUCUUCAACAAACACUAUAAAUAUUUUUAAAUGGUUUUUACUUCUUUUAUCAGAGAAAACAACAAGAGAGUCAUUAAGUGAUCUACAUUAAAUGUUUUGCAAAAUUCUAAUUUAUUUAACUCAUCAAGAAUCUAUUUCGUCAAGGAAUGGCCAAAUAUUCACAACCAUUGAAGCUGGAUUUUGAAUACAUGGGGGGGUUCCUUAUAUAUUCUCUUUUUAUUUAUGUUCUUAAAA